rnacentral:rRNA from 1 species
UACGUAGGGGCGAGCGUUGUCCGGAAUGAUUGGGCGUAAAGGGCGCGUAGGCGGCUUGUUAAGUCUGGAGUGGAAGUCCUCUUUUCAAGGGAGGAAUUGCUUUGGAAACUGGCGGGCUUGAGUGCAGGAGAGGUUAUCGGAAUUCCCGGUGUAGCGGUGAAAUGCGUAGAGAUCGGGAGGAACACCAGUGGCGAAGGCGGGUAACUGGACUGCAACUGACGCUGAGGCGCGAAAGUGUGGGGAGCAAAACAGGAUUAGAUACCCUGGUAGUCCCUGAG